AUGUUCCAGAUGGGCGAAAAAAAUUUGAAUUCCCAAAUAAAUUGGGAAACAUUGUUGGCUAGUGGAGUGCCGAUCAGCUUUGACUUCAAUGUUAUGGAUCAUGUACCUGAUGAAUUGAACGAAUUACAAGUCCGGCCGCCAACUACUCAUGUCAGCAUAGUUGGUGACACCAUCAAGGAGCUAGAUGUUCAAGUGAAACCAGGUUCCGCCGAUCACCCUCCAGUUGUGGGCCCACGAUAUAUACCAGAGGAACUUUACAUUAGCACAAGAAAUUUUCUCGGUUACCAUACGUCAGGUGUCCUAGUUCUAGGUCUUCAAAAUCUUGGCUCAAAAAAAAACUAA
rnacentral:lncRNA from 1 species